rnacentral:rRNA from 1 species
AUUGAACGCUGGCGGCAGGCCUAACACAUGCAAGUCGAACGAGUGGCGGACGGGUGAGUAAUGUCUGGGAAACUGCCUGAUGGAGGGGGAUAACUACUGGAAACGGUAGCUAAUACCGCAUACCAUCGGAUGUGCCCAGAUGGGAUUAGCUAGUAGGUGGGGUAAAGGCGCACCUAUGCGACGAUCCCUAUCUGGUCUGAGAGGAUGACCAUCCACACGGGGACUUGCACACGGACUGGACUCGUACGGGGGGCAGCAGUGGGGAAUAGUGCACAAGGGGCGCAAGCCUGAUGCAGCCAUGGCGCGUGUAUGAAGAAGGCCUGCGGGUUGUAAAGUACUUUCAGCGUGGAGGCGUUACCCGCAGAAUAAGCGCCGGCUAACUCCGUGCCAGCAGCCGCGGUAAUAC